rnacentral:misc_RNA from 1 species
CGCACCUUGCGCUCCUGGGUAUUCCCAGGAGCAUGCCUGUUUGAGUGUCAUGAAUCCCUCAAAUCCCAAUGUUUUGCAAAACUCAUUGCUUGGAUUUGGUCAUGGGCCGACUUUGCUACUUUAUUGUUAGCUGGCCUUAAAGACAUUAGCUUGGACUUUCGAACCUUUUCAGAAGGGUCUCCAUAUGAUGUGAUAAAUUUACGUCGAUGGGCUAAUGACUCUACUGUUGUUAAUGGUUUUGAAAACGAAUAGUCUAGCUUUCUAACCCGGCGAAGAGUUCCAUCUCUGACCCACUUUUCAUUUAACUCUGGCCUCAAAUCAGGUAGGACUACCCGCUGAACUUAA